UACGUAGGGGGCAAGCGUUGUCCGGAAUCACUGGGCGUAAAGCGCGCGCAGGCGGCCAUUUGCGUCCGGGGUGAAAGCCCAGAGCUCAACUCUGGGACUGCCUUGGAUACGGGAUGGCUUGAGGAUCGGAGAGGCAAGGGGAAUUCCACGUGUAGCGGUGAAAUGCGUAGAGAUGUGGAGGAACACCUGUGGCGAAGGCGCCUUGCUGGCCGAUUUCUGACGCUGAGGCGCGAAAGCUAGGGGAGCAAACAGG
rnacentral:rRNA from 1 species